rnacentral:rRNA from 1 species
GACGAACGCUGGCGGCGUGCUUAACACAUGCAAGUCGAACGGUGAAGCGCCUUCCUUUUUGGUGGGUGUGGAUGAGUGGCGAACGGGUGAGUAACACGUGAGUAACCUGCCCCCUUCUUCUGGAUAACCGCAUGAAAGUGUGGCUAAUACGGGAUAUUCUGGGUCUGUCGCAUGAUGGGUCUGGGAAAGAUAUUGUUUCGGUGGGGGAUGGGCUCGCGGCCUAUCAGCUUGUUGGUGGGGUGAUGGCCUACCAAGGCGGUGACGGGUAGCCGGCCUGAGAGGGUGGACGGUCACACUGGGACUGAGACACGGCCCAGACUCCUACGGGAGGCAGCAGUGGGGAAUAUUGCACAAUGGGCGCAAGCCUGAUGCAGCGACGCCGCGUGAGGGAUGGAGGCCUUCGGGUUGUGAACCUCUUUCGCCAGUGAAGCAGGCCUGCCUCGUUUGUGGGUGGGUUGACGGCAGCUGGAGAAGAAGCGCCGGCUAACUACGUG